CCUACGGGUGGCAGCAGUGAGGAAUAUUGGUCAAUGGGCGCUAGCCUGAACCAGCCAAGUAGCGUGAAGGAUGACUGCCCUAUGGGUUGUAAACUUCUUUUAUAGGGGAAUAAAGUGCAGUAGGUAUACUGCUUUGCAUGUACCUUAUGAAUAAGGAUCGGCUAACUCCGUGCCAGCAGCCGCGGUAAUACGGAGGAUCCGAGCGUUAGCCGGAUUUAUGGGGUUUAAAGGGAGCGUAGGCGGGUUGUUAAGUCAGUUGUGAAAGUUUGCGGCUCAACCGUAAAAUUGCAGUUGAUACUGGCAUCCUUGAGUCCCGUAGAGGUAGGCGGCAUUCGUGGUGUAGCGGUGACCUGCUUAGCUAUCCCG
rnacentral:rRNA from 1 species